UGGCGGCGUGCCUAACACAUGCAAGUCGAGCGGAGUCGGUAAGAGGAAGUUUCGGAUGGAAUCUUAUUGAUUAGCGGCGGACGGGUGAGUAACGCGUGAGCGACCAACCUGCACAGGGGGAUAACGGACCGAAAGGUUCACUAAUACCGCAUGAGACCACGGUGUUGCGUGACACAGAGGUCAAAGGAGCAAUCCGGUGCAAGACGGGCUCGCGUCCGAUUAGGUAGUUGGAGGGGUAACGGCCCACCAAGCCUAUGAUCGGUAGCCGACCUGAGAGGGUGAUCGGCCACAUUGGAACUGAGAUACGGCCCAGACUCCUACGGGAGGCAGCAGUGGGGGAUAUUGCACAAUGGGCGCAAGCCUGAUGCAGCGACGCCCGCGUGAGUGAAGAAGUAUUUCGGUAUGUAAAGCUCUAUCAGCAGGGAAGAAAGGCCCGCAAGGGAGAUGACGGUACCUGACUAAGAAGCCCCGGCUAACUACGUGCCAGCCGCAGC
rnacentral:rRNA from 1 species